UACGUAGGCAGCGAGCGUUGUUCGGAGUUACUGGGCGUAAAGGGUGUGUAGGCGGUUGUUUAAGUUUGGUGUGAAAUCUCCCGGCUCAACUGGGAGGUGCGCCGAAUACUGAAUGACUAGAGUGCGGGAGAGGUGAGUGGAAUUCCUGGUGUAGCGGUGAAAUGCGUAGAUAUCAGGAGGAACACCGGUGGUGUAGACGGCUCACUGGACCGUAACUGACGCUGAGACACGAAAGCGUGGGUAGCAAACAGG
rnacentral:rRNA from 1 species